GGCGCGUUAGCUCAGUUGGUAGAGCAGCGGACUCUUAAUCCGUAGGUCGAGUGUUCGAGUCACUCACGCCCCACCA
rnacentral:tRNA from 1 species